rnacentral:rRNA from 1 species
UACGUAGGGGGCUAGCGUUGCUCGGAAUUACUGGGCGUAAAGGGCGCGUAGGCGGACAGUUUAGUCAGAGGUGAAAGCCCAGGGCUCAACCUUGGAACUGCCUUUGAUACUGACCGUCUUGAGUUCGGGAGAGGUGAGUGGAAUGCCGAGUGUAGAGGUGAAAUUCGUAGAUAUUCGGCGGAACACCAGUGGCGAAGGCGACUCACUGGCCCGAUACUGACGCUGAGGCGCGAAAGCGUGGGGAGCAAACAGG